rnacentral:lncRNA from 1 species
UUAGCCACUACAGCCCCCAUCAGUCAGUGAUGGCAAUCCCUAUAGUUUUGAUGCAAGCCCCAUCCUUACUUGAUGGCAAUCCAGUCCCUGGAGUUUGUCAUUGUUCUCCUUUGUCAAAGUCAUCCCACUUGAAGUUUCAUGGUGCUAUUUGAAGUUUCAAAAUUGUCUACUACUGUCCAUAAAUUGCUGUUAGUUGUUUGUCGACAUGUGAUUGCGCAUCUGUUUGCCGCACACUCUUGAAGACCGAUCAUAUAUUUCAAAUUGAGUUUAUUUAUUCCAAGCUUGGUCCAUACAAUCUGUAUGCUCCAGCUUGAGGGGGAGUGUUAGAGAUAUUAUAUUUAGUUUAUAUUGUGUUUAUGUUAAUUAGGAAAAUAUAGUCCCUAUAUGUUUAUUAGGGAAACAUUGUUCUUACU